GAAGCCAAGGACUUGUUAUAAAUGCUAGACAGUCUCUCUGUCACUGAGCUCCAUAGCCCCGUGCUGUGGAGAAAGACUCGGCAUAUGCUAAUUCUACUGGUUGUUCCAGUGGGCGGUGCUAAGGGUGAGAAAGAAGGUAGUGGGUUAGUAUCAUGGACAGAGGGGGAAAAAUAGGAGUGCUCAAUACGGAUCUGAGCAAGAGACGCUUGUAAGACAAAGGAAAGAUUUUCAAGCUUGAGUACUUAAAAACAUUAAUCACUGGUGACCCUGGGGUGUGUUGCAGUGGAAGGGACAGUGAGAAGUACAGAGAUUGACCAGGAAGGAGAAAGAAGCUGAUUGCAGGCCAAGGUAGAAAGGAACUGGAAGACUACGUCAGCGGGAUGCUCCCUGCGUUCUAAGGCACUGUGGUCCAUGCAGCACGCUGUGGGCAGAUAGCAUUUCUAGUCAUUCAUCUCUUCUAUGCGCACCCCUUAGCUUAACUGAUAGUAAACUUCAAAUCCUAAGGAGAGAUUUUUUAUAGAGAAAAGCUAUUGGCUAUAUGAAAUUAAUAAAGUAAAAUGAUCCUGCUGGUAACUCUUAUUUUCAAAGGUAUAAUGGAUUUGCCCAAAAUACUGAGUUCCUUACUGUGGAAGCUUAUAAAAACAUAAAAUUGGGUAAAAUUGAACCUUGUAAGAACAAUUAUUAUUUUAAUAAACAAGGCUAUAUAAGUUUUAUUUGUGAUAAUUCUGUUAAAUGUUUCUUCUUCAGAAGCCUAAGGAAACAGUUCCAACUCUUGCUCCAAAAACUCUUUCAGUAGCAGCAGCUUUCAAUGAAGAUGAAGAUAGUGAGCCGGAAGAAAUGCCUCCAGAAGCGAAGAUGAGGAUGAAGAACAUCGGAAGGGACACGCCAACAUCAGCCGGACCAAACUCCUUUAAUAAAGGAAAGCAUGGCUUUUCCGAUAACCAGAAGCUGUGGGAGCGAAAUAUCAAAUCUCAUCUUGGAAACGUCCACGACCAAGACAAUUAAGAGAAGUGUUCUGAGAUUGGGGUGUGGGCGGGUGCAUUAGAAGGAGCAGUCAGCCUCCUUUUUGUAAAGAAUGGUGUAAGACUAGCUUUGGAGCCGUUUUUCUUUCUUCUUUUUUCUUUUCCUUUUUUCUUUUUUUUUUUUUAAGAUUGAGUGGUACACUAAUAAAUGAGAGUUUGCAAUUAGAGGUAAUUUAUGUUUUAUAUACAGAUUUCAAGACAUUUGCUAAUUUUGUAGUUUCACAUGAUUAGUUUCCAAGGGUUACAGAUAAUAAAGAAAUCAGAAGUGGUACCUUUCUAAGAAUUGCAUAUUUUUUUAGACACAACUAUUAGCACAUUAAGAGGGAAGCCAAAAGUUAUUGCCUACUUCAAAGUGAA
rnacentral:lncRNA from 1 species